CAAUUUAACUGUUUGAAAUAUACCAAUCAGAAAAUAAAACUUUAACAAUUUAACUGGUUGAAAUAUAUCAUUCAGAAAAUAAAACUUUAGCAAUUUAACUGUUUGAAAUAUACCAAUCAGAAAAUAAAACUUUAACAAUUUAACUGUUUGAAAUAUACCAAUCAGAAAAUAAAACUUUAACAAUUUAACUGGUUGAAAUAUACGAUCAGAAAAUAAAACUUUAGUAAUUUAACUGUUGAAAUAUAUCAUUCAGAAAAAAUAAAAACUGACAGUCUUUAAACCGAUGACUGUUUGAAAUAAAUCAAUCAGAAAAUUAAAAAACACAUAGUUUGUACAACAGUGAUAGUUCUUAAAUAGAAAUGUAUGCAAAUGAAAGCCUGCAGGGGGGUGAGAGCCUGCAGGGGUGAAAGUGACAUCACGGUUGUUGUUUGAACAGGUAUAUAAAAAGCCUGUGUUUUCCAACUUCCACAUCCAACCCUUCUGCAGCGCUAAAUUUUACUCAAAGCUCCAAACUUUCAAGACUUUUAAAGACCUCCGAAAUGGAAAACGCUAUGUUUUACAGCUGUUGAUCCAAAAUACGACUUUCCUGACGUCUUUACGUCGCAAGAACUGGAAGACAUUGAACUCUGCAUACAAAGUGCAGAACGAAACGAACCGCCGAGGAACCAGGCGAGUUUGAGGAACCCUGUCCCUGGCGUGCAGAGUCCCGCG